rnacentral:tRNA from 1 species
UGGGGCCUAGCUCAAUGGUAGAGCGCUCGUCUUAUACACGAGUGGUUCCUGGUUCGAGUCCAGGGGUCCCAA